rnacentral:rRNA from 1 species
AACGAACGCUGGCGGCGUGGAUUAGGCAUGCAAGUCGAGCGAGAACCGUAGCAAUACGGGGACAGCGGCGAAAGGGACAGUAAUGUGUAGGUACCUACCUCCGGGUUCGGGAUAGCUGCGGGAAACUGCAGGUAAUACCGAAUAACGCCUCCGGACCAAAGGUGUGAUUCCACCUGGAGAGGGGCCUGCAUCCUAUUAGCUUGUUGGCGGGGUAACGGCCCACCAAGGCGACGAUGGGUAGCGGGUGUGAGAGCACGACCCGCGUCAUUGGGACUGAGACACUGCCCAGACACCUACGGGUGGCUGCAGUCGAGGAUCUUCGGCAAUGGGCGCAAGCCUGACCGAGCGACGCCGCGUGCGGGAUGAAGGCCUUCGGGUUGUAAACCGCUGUCGUAGAGGAGGAAGUGCAGGGGGGUUCUCCCUUCUGUUUGACCUAUUCUAGGAGGAAGGACGGGCUAAGUUCGUGCCAGCAGCCGCGGUAA